rnacentral:rRNA from 1 species
AUUGAACGCUGGCGGCAGGCCUAACACAUGCAAGUCGAGCGGACGAAGGGAGCUUGCUCCUGUAUUCAGCGGCGGACGGGUGAGUAAUGCCUAGGAAUCUGCCUGAUCGUGGGGGAUAACGUCCGGAAACGGGCGCUAAUACCGCAUACGACCUGAGGUCGAACGUGGGGGAUCUUCGGACCUCACGCUAUCAGCUGAGCCUAGGUCGGAUUAGCUAGUUGGUGGGGUAAAGGCCUACCAAGGCGACGAUCCGUAACUGGUCUGAGAGGAUGAUCAGUCACACUGGAACUGAGACACGGUCCAGACUCCUACGGGAGGCAGCAGUGGGGAAUAUUGGCCAAUGGGCGAAAGCCUGAUACAGCCAAGCCGCGUGUGUGAAGAAGGUCUUCGGAUUGUAAAACACUGUAAGUUGGGAAGAAGGGAAGUAAGAUAAUACCUUGCUGUUUUGACGGUACCAAAAGAAUAAGCCCCGGCUAACUUCGUG